ACUGAAACUAUUGAAAGAGAUGGUACUUGUGAACGUAUUACUAUUUAUAGUCUCCCUACUCUUCUACCAUUUCUCUUUAUCUAACAUGUCCUCCGAUUACCAUUUAUCUACUAUGCAAUUACUCUCGCGACCAUACACCAUUCGUCUCGGAGUCUUCGUUCGUAUCACUCGCGAAAUAAGAUUUCAGCUGAUCUACAAACUGUUACAAGAUAUUUCUACUUGGAAGAUAUAAGCAUGAAAAAUUGUAUACACAUUUUAAAAACAAAGAAGAGCAACGAAGAAAGUAAAUAAAAAAAUGUUCAUCUAGUUGUUUCAAAGGUGAUGGUGUUUUGUGAAAUUUGUGAACGUUAACUGCUGUUCCUUUAAAUCUUCAACUUUUUAGUAAAAUCACAAGUAAAAUCAUUUUCAAACUUAGCUUGGGUUUCAU